UACGAAAGGUGCAAGCGUUACUCGGAAUCACUGGGCGUAAAGCGCGCGUAGGCGGUCUUGUAUGUCGAUUGUGAAAGCCCCGGGCUCAACCUGGGAAUAGCAGCCGAAACUGCAUGACUUGAAUACUGGAGAGGGUGGGGGAAUACCUAGUGGAGAAGUGAAAUUCGUAGAGAUUAGGUGGAACACCAGAGGCGAAGGCGCCUGCCUGGCCAAGUAUUGACGCUGAGGCGCGAAAGCGUGGGGAGCAAACAGG
rnacentral:rRNA from 1 species